GCGUCGGUAGUGCAGCGGUUCAGCACGCACUUUCGGAAAGAGUGAGAUCUGGGUUCGAAUCCCGGCUGACGCA